GGAAGGAAGGAGCGAAGCUCACCGACCUGCUUAUUCAUACACUAUAAGCCAUAGCUGUUUCCUUUGAGUGACUGUUGACAAGGAACAAUAUCAACAUAUGCCGCUCACUUUUGGCUACUCUAUGCAGAAGACACUCCGCUUCACUCAAGGCAGCACCGAUCUGUGUGGUUGGACGACAAACGGUCGAGCUGCAGUAUGCACUGUGGUCUCCUGGCGCUCACUAGUAGUAGGCCAGGCACGAUUUGCUGAAAAAUCCGCUGCUGCCCGUUAAGCAUUGUCAACGAGUUGCCCUCCUUAGCAAUGCGCAGUUGCUCGCAGCCUUUCUAGCCUUUGGGUCUGUCACCUAUACGAUGAAAAUUUGUGGAAGGCCGAAGAGCCUGGCAGACGCUCUAAUCUGAUAAGUCCAAGAAUGAGAGCAAAAAAUGAGAAUUUAUUCGGGAAAUGUGGGGUAGUAUCUAAUUAUGUUUUUCUACUUGUCCUCGAUCCUUGAUCAGCUUCCCAAAUGGGGCCCAUGUCCGAGCAUCCAGAGUCGUCGGUCUUAGCUGGCCUGCCAUUUUACCGAGCAUUGGUAACCCCUAGUCAUUACCCUUGACGCUUAC
rnacentral:sRNA from 1 species